rnacentral:lncRNA from 12 species
CGUCAACAAAGGUGGCAGGCUGGAUCUGGCCCGCUGGCGAUCAGCAUCCAUUUGCCUAGACCUAGAAAACUGCCUGGAAUCCACUACCUAAAGGCCUUCCUGCUUCUAUUCUGGGGAGAAAGGGAAACACAGCACGAAGCCAAGAGGAGAAAGAGCUGGUAUGUACCUAUCAUUUGCAUCUGGGUUAAGCUUGGAGGGAAGCCAUCCCCUGUCAGUGGCCCGGCUACUGUAGGGCCAGCAGCCCACGCCUUCCUGUCUGCUGAAAGUAGAAGUCAGUCCUCUGGGGAGUGGGGGAGGGGACGCUGUAAAAAUGAAAAAAGGAAACUGGAGCUUUUAAGGAGGGGCUUGGGAAGUGGGGAGAAAGCUGUCCCCCCCCCCCCCCAAUGGUGGGUGGCUUUUCCAGGCAACUUGCAAACAUCUGCCUGCU